ensembl:lncRNA
AGAGGAGAGACAAGUUACACUCAUCCAUAUCUACACAGGAGAGACACGUUACACUCAUCCAUAUCUACACAGGAGAGACAAGUUACACUCAUCCAUAUCUACACAGGAGAGACACGUUACACUCAUCCAUAUCUACACAGGAGAGACAAGUUACACUCAUCCAUAUCUACACAGGAGAGACAAGUUACACUCAUCCAUAUCUACACAGGAGAGACAAGUUACACUCAUCCAUAUCUACACAGGAGAGACAAGUUACACUCAUCCAUAUCUACACAGGAGAGACACGUUACACUCAUCCAUAUCUACACAGGAGAGACAAGUUACACUCAUCCAUAUCUACACAGGAGAGACACGUUACACUCAUCCAUAUCUACACAGCAGAGACAAGUUACACUCAUUCAUAUCUACACAGGAGAGACAAGUUACACUCAUCCAUAUCUACACAGGAGAGAGAGAAGUUACACUCAUCCACAUCUAGAGAGGAGAGACAAGUUACACUCAUCCAUAUCUACACAGGAGAGACACGUUACACUCAUCCAUAUCUACCCAGGAGAGACACGUUACACUCAUCCAUAUCUACAUAGGAGAGACAAGUUACACUCAUCCAUAUCUACACAGGAGAGACAAGUUACACUCAUCCAUAUCUACACAGGAGAGACAAGUUACACUCAUCCAUAUCUACACAGGAGAGACAAGUUACACUCAUCCAUAUCUAAACAGGAGAGACAAGUUACACUCAUCCAUAUCUACACAGGAGAGACAAGUUACACUCAUCCAUAUCUACACAGGAGAGAGAGAAGUUACACUCAUCCACAUCUAGAGAGGAGAGACAAGUUACACUCAUCCAUAUCUACACAGGAGAGACACGUUACACUCAUCCAUAUCUACAUAGGAGAGACAAGUUACACUCAUCCAUAUUUACACAGGAGAGAGACAAGUUACACUCAUCCAUAUCUACACAGGAGAGACAAGUUACACUCAUCCAUAUCUACACAGGAGAGAGGGAAGUUACACUCAUCCAUAUCUACACAGGAGAGACAAGUUACGCUCAUCCAUAUCUACACAGGAGAGAGACAAGUUACACUCAUCCAUAUCUACACAGGAGAGACAAGUUACGCUCAUCCAUAUCUACACAGGAGAGAGACAAGUUACACUCAUCCAUAUCUACACAGGAGAGACAAGUUACACUCAUCCAUAUCUACACAGGAGAGACAAGUUACACUCAUCCAUAUUUACACAGGAGAGAGACAAGUUACACUCAUCCACAUCUACACAGGAAAAGACAAGUUACACUCAUCCAUAUCUACACAGGAGAGAGACAAGUUACACUCAUCCAUAUCUAGAGAGGAGAGAGAGAAGUUACACUCAUCCAUAUCUACACAGGAGAGACAAGUUACACUCAUCCAUAUCUACACAGGAGAGAGAAGUUACACUCAUCCAUAUCUACACAGGAGAGAGAGAAGUUACACUCAUCCACAUCUACACAGGAGAGAGAGAAGUUACACUCAUCCAUAUCUACACAGGAGAGAGAAGUUACACGCAUCCAUAUCUAGAGAGGAGAGAGAUAAGUUACACUCAUCCAUAUCUACACAGGAGAGACAAGUUACACUCAUCCAUAUCUACACAGGAGAGAGACAAGUUACACUCAUCCAUAUCUACACAGGAGAGAGACAAGUUACACACAUCCAUAUCUAG